GGUAUCAGGGCUUAACUUAGAUGAUAAACACGAGUCAACCAUCACAAGUCACUCAUCUACUCUCCUCUUUGUGAUCAUCCUGUGUAGGCGAUUCUAAAUUUAUCGCAAGAUCAGGAUUAAGCAGACGAAAGAAAAAAAAAAAAAAAAGAAACGGUCUUGGCAACAUCACUACUCUGGCUGCUUGUGAAAGCAACAAGUGACUUCAUCCAACAUUCACCUGCGCAAGGCAGUUCCGAAGUGGGAACACUCACCUGCCCAUGGCAGUUGCGAGGAGACCCGAGGCUCUGCUGGGGAAAUCCCUUGGUCUGCCAAAGCUUUUUUCUUUCCGCAUGAAAGAUCAGUCGGCUCCUAGGGGCAAGUGUGGAAUUACAGAAGGUGUCGAGGACUAAGCACAAGCCGGCUGCUAAUGGCUGCUUUCCAACAAUGCUGUAAAACUUCUCCUUGAGUCCCGGCUCUUUUUUCAGACGUCCCAUAGCAGUUCAGUUGGAGAACUCCAGAAAUGGGAGCCUCUGUUUCCGGUCCUGAGCGCUCACAGGCCACCUGGGAGCCUCCUACCGGCCUGGACAGGCCAGCCUCUCCCUCGAAGUCUCCAGAAGGAUCAGUUUCAGAAGGCUGCAGGUGUGUGCAGAGUUUGUUGCUGGGAUGGAGCGCUGGUGGGAAGACAGCCCGCGGGUGUUAACCUCCAUCAAGGUCAAGCUAUCCAGCCUGGCUUGUGCUGCCCGGAGUUUGCUACGUGAAUGUCCCGGAUCUCAUGUGCCAUCUGCAUGGUGUCUGCAUGCUACUUUAGCAGGGGUUUGCUUUUCUGCGUCCGUCCACUCGACUUUUCGUGAUUACGAGUGAUUGUCAGCCAGAGAGGCACCUGCUCUGGUGAGCCACUGCAGAAAGGCCCCAGACCUCCCCCCAUGCGGUAGCUCUGGGCCAGACUUAAAUUCAGGAUCCUGAGGACCAUCUCCUUCCGGGCGCCGCUUCCCGCCCCUCUGCUUCCAAGAAAAGGUACUGCGACCCCGCUUUCACUCCACUGCGCAGGGCCAGCCCCUGAACUAUUUUUAGUUAUUUUACCCUUGAAACUAAAAGCUGAUACUUUAAAAAAGAAAUCGAUAAAAUACAUUUAACGUUGGCAAAUCUGAUCUGGUGAAACAUGGAAUAAAUCCUUUUAAAAUUAGAAACUGGAAUGGUUUUAUUUAUCAAUAUUGACGUGAUUAAAGCACUAUCUAAAAAUAAUGGAUAAACUGUGUGGAAAGUGGAAAAAUCCAGAAAAAAUAGGUAUUUCCCUAGAAAUUGUAGGCAGGAAGUUGAAACGAUAAUGUACAUAAACAAUAAAAUAAUAAGAGAAGAUAAUUCAAUUAUUUUUUUAACAUAAUAAUAAAAUUUCUUCAUUAAAAACCACAAAACACAAAAGCCUUAAAAAUGACUGGCAGUUUUUUGAUAUAAACUUUAAAACUUCUAUUAAAAAUAUCUCAAAAAUUAAAAAAAGGAAAAAAUGUUGGCCCCAC
rnacentral:lncRNA from 1 species